rnacentral:lncRNA from 1 species
CCACUGAGCUAAGUCCCCAGCCCUACAGUCCUUAUUUUCUAAGGUCAGCAGGUUAGAAUGACCUCUUCUUGAGAUGAGAGUCCUGGGACACACAUAAGAGCUGAGAGCCCAAAGAGCACUGUGGGCCAUCAGCCGGCUCCUAGGCAUUGGUGGGGAGGAGAAGGCAUCUUGUGCCAUGACUGUCACAAUGACCUGGUAGUCUUGUGAGAGACAAGAUAGAAUGGAUGAAACAACAGCAGAACAAUGUUAAUUGAAGAUAAUCAGCAGUGAUGUCAUGCUGUAAAUCAGUCCUUGAAGUCAUGACCCACAUGUCUAAAAAUAGAUGUCAGGAAUGGAAUGGACACUCAGGUAACACCAUAAGAAUGACCUUUAGCCACCUGCCUUACCCACCUGGAAGAGAACCUGAGAUGUUCUCCCAAAAAAACCCUUUGAGAUGCAAGGAAAAGAAGGAAAGAGAGUUACUUCCACUAAAAAGCUGUCAGAGAGAAAUAAG